UACGGAGGGUGCAAGCGUUAUCCGGAUUCACUGGGUUUAAAGGGUGCGUAGGCGGGUAAGUAAGUCCGUGGUGAAAUCUCUGAGCUUAACUCAGAAACUGCCGUGGAUACUAUUUGCCUUGAAUAUUGCGGAGGUGAGCGGAAUAUGUCAUGUAGCGGUGAAAUGCUUAGAUAUGACAUAGAACACCAAUUGCGAAGGCAGCUCACUACACAAUCAUUGACGCUGAGGCACGAAAGCGUGGGGAUCAAACAGG
rnacentral:rRNA from 1 species